AACGAACGCUGGCGGCAGGCUUAACACAUGCAAGUUGAGCGGAUGACGGGAGCUUGCUCCUUGAUUCAGCGGCGGACGGGUGAGUAAUGCCCAGGAAUCUGCCUGGUAGUGGGGGACAACGUUUCGAAAGGAACGCUAAUACCGCAUACGUCCUACGGGAGAAAGCAGGGGACCUUCGGGCCUUGCGCUAUCAGAUGAGCCUAGGUCGGAUUAGCUAGUUGGUGAGGUAAUGGCUCACCAAGGCGACGAUCCGUAACUGGUCUGAGAGGAUGAUCAGUCACACUGGAACUGAGACACGGUCCAGACUCCUACGGGAGGCAGCAGUGGGGAAUAUUGGACAAUGGGCGAAAGCCUGAUCCAGCCAUGCCGCGUGUGUGAAGAAGGUCUUCGGAUUGUAAAGCACUUUAAGUUGGGAGGAAGGGCAGUAAGUUAAUACCUUGCUGUUUUGACGUUACCGACAGAAUAAGCACCGGCUAACUCUGUGCCAGCAGCCGCGGUAACAC
rnacentral:rRNA from 1 species